UACGUAGGGGGCAAGCGUUGUCCGGAAUCAUUGGGCGUAAAGAGCGCGUAGGCGGCCCAGUAAGUCCGCUCUGAAAGUCAGGGGCUCAACCCCUGGAUGCGGGUGGAUACUGCUGGGCUAGAGUCCGGAAGAGGUGAGUGGAAUUCCUGGUGUAGCGGUGAAAUGCGCAGAUAUCAGGAGGAACACCAAUGGCGAAGGCAGCUCGCUGGGACGUGACUGACGCUGAGACGCGAAAGCGUGGGGAGCAAACAGG
rnacentral:rRNA from 1 species